rnacentral:rRNA from 1 species
UGGGGAAUAUUGCACAAUGGGCGCAAGCCUGAUGCAGCAACGCCGCGUGAGGGACGACGGCCUUCGGGUUGUAAACCUCUUUUAGUAGGGAAGAAGCGAAAGUGACGGUACCUGCAGAAAAAGCACCGGCUAACUACGUGCCAGCAGCCGCGGUAAUACGUAGGGUGCGAGCGUUGUCCGGAAUUAUUGGGCGUAAAGAGCUCGUAGGCGGUCUGUCGCGUCUGCUGUGAAAACCCGAGGCUCAACCUCGGGCCUGCAGUGGGUACGGGCAGACUAGAUGCGGUAGGGGAGAAUGGAAUUCCUGGUGUAGCGGUGGAAUGCGCAGAUAUCAGGAGGAACACCGAUGGCGAAGGCAGUUCUCUGGGCCGUAACUGACGCUGAGGAGCGAAAGCGUGGGGAGCGAACAGGAUUAGAUACCCUGGUAGUCCACGCCGUAAACGUUGGGCGCUAGAUGUGGGGGACCAUUCCACGGUUUCCGUGUC